rnacentral:rRNA from 1 species
UGGGGAAUAUUGGACAAUGGGGGCAACCCUGAUCCAGCCAUGCCGCGUGUGUGAAGAAGGCCUUCGGGUUGUAAAGCACUUUAAGUGGGGAGGAAGGCUCGUACGUGAAUAUCGUGCGGGAGUGACGUUACCCACAGAAUAAGCACCGGCAAACUCCGUGCCAGCAGCCGCGGUAAUACGGAGGGUGCGAGCGUUAAUCGGAAUUACUGGGCGUAAAGCGCACGUAGGCGGUUCGUUAAGUCGGAUGUGA